GACGAACGCUGGCGGCGUGCUUAACACAUGCAAGUCGAACGAAGUGGCGAACGGGUGAGUAAUACGUGAGUAACCUGCCCUCCUUUUUGGGAUAAGCCUUGGAAACGGGGUCUAAUACCGGAUAAAGGGGGAUGGGCUGGCGGCCUAUCAGCGUGUUGGUGGGGUGAUGGCCUACCAAGGCGGUGACGGGUAGCCGGCCUGAGAGGGUGACCGGCAACAUUGGGAGGGAGAUACGGCCCAGAAUCGUACGGGAGGCAGCAGUGGGGGAUAUUGCACAAUGGGCGAAAGGCUGAUGCAGCGAAGCCGCGUGGGGGAUGAAGGCUUUCGGGUUGUAAAACUCUUUCGAUAUCGAACGGGUAGGUGUAGAAGAAGCGCCGGCUAACUACGUGCCAGCAGCCGCGGUAAUUC
rnacentral:rRNA from 1 species